rnacentral:tRNA from 1 species
GUAAAUAUAGUUUACCCAAAACCCUAGACUGUGAAUCUAGAGACAGGAAAUUACUUCCUUAUUUACC